rnacentral:rRNA from 1 species
GGGUUACUGAGAGUGAUUUCAGCUAAUGGGAUCUUUUGUCACUUAUAAAACAUGUGCUGACUAAGGCGUGGGCAAGUCUGGUGUCAGCCGCCGCGGUAAUACCAGCACCCCGAGUGGUCAGGACGAUUAUUGGGCCUAAAGCAUCCGUAGCCGGUUGUUCAAGUCUUCGGUUAAAUCCAGCAGCUCAACGGAUGGGCUGCGGGGGAUACUACAGGACUAGGGAGCGGGAGAGGCAAGCGGUACUCAGUGGGUAGGGGUAAAAUCCUGUGAUCCAUUGAGGACCACCAGUGGCGAAGGCGUCUUGCCAGAACGCGUUCGACGGUGAGGGAUGAAAGCUGGGGGAGCAAACCGGAUUAGAUACCCGGGUAGUCCCAGCUGUAAACGAUGCANACUAGGUGUAUGGGNUAGCCUUGAGCCAGCCCAGUGCCGCAGGGA